UACGUAGGGGGCGAGCGUUGUCCGGAUUUAUUGGGCGUAAAGAGCUCGUAGGCGGUUUGGCAAGUCGGGUGUGAAAACUCCGGGCUCAACUCGGAGACGCCACUCGAUACUGCCAUGACUCGAGUCCGGUAGGGGAGUGCGGAAUUCCUGGUGUAGCGGUGAAAUGCGCAGAUAUCAGGAGGAACACCGGUGGCGAAGGCGGCACUCUGGGCCGGUACUGACGCUGAGGCGCGAAAGCGUGGGGAGCAAACAGG
rnacentral:rRNA from 1 species